rnacentral:rRNA from 1 species
GACGAACGCUGGCGGCGUGCCUACUACAUGCAAGUAGAACGCAGUUUCGAACGGGUGAGUAACGCGUAGGUAACUGCCUGGUAGCGGGGGAUAACUAUUGGAAACGCUAGCUAAUACCGCAUACUACCAGAUGGACCUGCGUUGUAUUAGCUAGUUGGUGAGGUAACGGCUCACCAAGGCAACUAUACAUAGCCGACCUGAGAGGGUGGUCGGCCACACUGGGAAUGAGAAAAUGCCCAGACCCCCUCCGGAAGCAACAGUAGGGAAUCUUCGGCAAUUGGGGGAAAGCUGACCGAGCAACGCCGCCUGAUUGAAGAAGGUUGUCGGAUCGGAAAGCUUUGUUGUUAAGGAAGCGGUACUUAACCAGAAAGGGACGGCUAACUACGUGCCAGCAGCCGCGGUAAUAC